rnacentral:rRNA from 1 species
GACGAACGCUGGCGGCGUGCUUAACACAUGCAAGUCGAACGGUGACCUCGAGAGCUUGCUCUCGAGUGAUCAGUGGCGAACGGGUGAGUAACACGUGAGUAACCUACCCCUGACUCUGGAAUAACAAUUGGAAACAGUUGCUAAUACCGGAUACGACACGAGCGGGCAUCCGCAUCGUGUGGAAAGUUUUUCGGUCUGGGAUGGACUCGCGGCCUAUCAGCUUGCUGGUGAGGUAACGGCUCACCAAGGCGACGACGGGUAGCCGGCCUGAGAGGGCAACCGGCCACACUGGGACUGAGACACGGCCCAGACUCCUACGGGAGGCAGCAGUGGGGAAUAUUGCACAAUGGGCGAAAGCCUGAUGCAGCGACGCCGCGUGAGGGAUGACGGCCUUCGGGUUGUAAACCUCUUUCAGUAGGGAAGAAGCGAAAGUGACGGUACCUACAGAAGAAGCACCGGCUAACUACGUGCCAGCAGCCGCAGUAAGAC